UAGCUCAGUUGGUAGAGCAUGGUGUUUGGUGUUUGCAACACCAGGGUUGUGGGUUCGAUUCCCAC
rnacentral:tRNA from 1 species